rnacentral:rRNA from 1 species
ACUCAAAGGAAUAGACGGGGGCCCGCACAAGCGGUGGAGUAUGUGGUUCAAUUCGAAGCAACGCGCAGAACCUUACCUGGGUUUGACAUCCCACGACAACUACAGAGAUGUAGCUUUCCCUUCGGGGACGUGGAGACAGGUGCUGCAUGGCUGUCGUCAGCUCGUGUUGUGAAAUGUUGGGUUAAGUCCCGCAACGAGCGCAACCCCUAUUCUUAGUUGCCAUCAUUAAGUUGGGCACUCUGGGAAGACUGCCGGUGUUAAACCGGAGGAAGGCGGGGAUGACGUCAAGUCCUCAUGGCCCUUACAUCCAGGGCUACACACGUACUACAAUGGCAGAGACAAACCGACGCAAAAUCGCGAGAUGGAGCAAAUCGGAAAAACACUGUCCCAGUCCGGAUUGGAGUCUGCAACUCGACUCCAUGAAGUUGGAAUCGCUAGUAAUCGUAGAUCAGCACGCUACGGUGAAUACGUUCCCGGGCCUUGUACACACCGCCCGU